rnacentral:rRNA from 1 species
CCUANGGGGGGCAGCAGUGGGGAAUAUUGCACAAUGGGCGAAAGCCUGAUGCAGCGACGCCGCGUGAGGGAUGACGGCCUUCGGGUUGUAAACCUCUUUCGGCAGGGACGAAGCGAAAGUGACGGUACCUGCAGAAGAAGUCCCGGCUAACUACGUGCCAGCAGCCGCGGUAAGACGUAGGGGACGAGCGUUGUCCGGAUUCAUUGGGCGUAAAGAGCGCGUAGGCGGCUACGCAAGUCGGUUGUGAAAACCCGGGGCUCAACCCCGGGCCUGCAUCCGAUACUGCGUGGCUAGAGGUAGGUAGGGGAGAUCGGAAUUCCUGGUGUAGCGGUGAAAUGCGCAGAUAUCAGGAGGAACACCGGUGGCGAAGGCGGAUCUCUGGGCCUUACCUGACGCUGAGGCGCGAAAGCUAGGGGAGCGAACAGGAUUAGAUACCCCUNUANUC